GUGUUAGGUAAGAUAAUCCUUACCUAUUCCUCCAUUUAGAGAAAAGAUAGGACAUGAUGACUGGAUUGUCCAUCAUAAGUAACUAGUGUCUCUGCAUAGUCUGACUUGCAACUCCCUGGAUGUUCCUGUAUGCU